rnacentral:rRNA from 1 species
UACGUAGGCAGCAAGCGUUGUUCGGAGUUACUGGGCGUAAAGGGUGCGUAGGCUGUGCGGAAAGUUGGGUGUGAAAUCCCCCGGCUCAACCGGGGAAUUGCGCCCAAACUACCGUGCUGGAGAAAGACAGAGGUGAGCGGAACUUCGGGUGGAGCGGUGAAAUGCGUUGAUAUCCGAAGGAACACCGGUGGCGAAAGCGGCUCACUGGGUCUUUUCUGACGCUGAUGCACGAAAGCUAGGGGAGCAAACGGG